rnacentral:rRNA from 1 species
AGCAACGGGAAUGAAAUGUUUUGAUAUACUCUUUAUUCCCAAACAAUAAAAAAAAAGUUGGGAAUAAAGAGAAUAUGUUUAAUGUAAUUAAAAUUUUUUUAUAAAAGUUCUUUAUGUUAAAAAAUUAAUAAUAAUUUUUAGAAGAUGAAUUUAUUUUUUUUAAAAAGAAAAAUAGAUUUUUAUAUAUUUCUGGCUAAGCUUGUGCCAGCCGCCGCGGUUAUACAAGCAGGAUAAGAUUUUUUUUUAAAAAAAUAUUAUUAAUGUUAAAUAAUUUUAAUUUAUUUAGGUGAAAUUAGUAAAUGUAUUAAUUUUUUAAAAUUUAUGAAAUUUAUUAGGAAAAAUAGGAUUAGAUACCCUAUUAUUAUAGAAUGUAAGAUUGGGAGUAUCUUAGGUUUAGAUAAAACUAAUUAAAAUGGCGGUGUUUUAAGCUUUUUAGAGGAAUUUAUUCUUUAAUUGAUAUGACACAGAUAUCUUACUUGAUUUAGUUAAAUCAGCUUGUAUAUCGCUAUCAUGUUAUAAUGUUAAUAGGUCAUUGUAGGAAUAAUUAUUUGUUAAAAUGUUAGGUCAAAAUGCAGCAAAAGAUUAAGUUUGAAAUAAAUUACAUUGAUUUUUAUCGAUUUUUUUGAAAAAUUAUUGCAAGGAUUUAAUAGUAAAUUUUAAUUAUAAUGUAAAAUUGAAACAAGCUCUGGAAUAUGCACAUAUCGCCCGUCACUCUCACUUGUGAGAUAAGUCGUAACAAAGUAAAAGUACCGGAAGGUGUUUUU